AUGUCCAAUCCCGCACGCAACCUCCACCCCGUUCCUCUCUGCCCUGCGCCGCCCCCUCCUCUUGAGAACGAGCACGGCUCUUGUCGCUGUGCCUGGUGGGGAUCCGGUGCAUCCCCUCUCCCCUCGCCUCCUCCUCUCCUGGGUCCCUGCAUUGCCGGCUCAGCCGCUUCCCCUGCGUCUUCUCGUCCCCGCUUCUCUCCUCCUAGUCCAGUCCUGGACCAGAUCGGUGUUUGGCGCAGGAGGCUCGGGGUGGUCGCAGGUUCGGGCGCCAUCUCCUUCCUUCCCGUACACUGGGAUCAAACAGCCCGCGGCCUGGCGGUGGCGGCCUGGAUCCGGAGGCAGACGGACCAGAUCCUGGAGCUGGGCACGAAGGAGCUCGAGGUCGACGACUCCGGCUUCGUCCUCCUCCUCUAA
rnacentral:rRNA from 1 species